rnacentral:lncRNA from 1 species
CUCAUUCAUGUAAGACGAUACACCUGUACAAUGUGACCUUUCACCUGGAAAUAUAGUUUCGUAUACAAAAUUCCACUUCUUUCAGGUUUACACUUUCAGUAUUAAUGGUUACAAUAAACAAUUAAAAAAUGUUAGGUCUUGAUUUAUUUAAGUCGAUAAGUAAGAGUUAAACACAAAAAGUCGGAAUACGAAAAUUUUGAUACUUUAAUCACACAUAUUCAAAAUGGCGCAUCGUGGUUUACUUGUACUGUACACACGUGAAUAACAUUAAACGAAAUCGAUCUUGGAAGAUUUCACUAGGUUUUAUCUUGACUAUAAUGGUUUUACCAUUGAAGGGUUCAUCUUUUAUUGAUAUUCAGGAUUCAUGUACACUGUUAAGAUGCAAUGACACAAAUUUUACCAAAUCCGAAACAAAGCGGACAUUCGAUCAAAGGCUGAUUUUUAUGCAAAUUACUAAGUCAACACUGUUAGAUGAGGGUGGUAAAGGGUUAUUUUCGUGCAACGUGAUCGCCGUUUUUUAUUUCACGUUCAACAUGUUUUUACUUUUUUAUUUCACGUUCAGUCGUGCAAGACAGAUGCCUCGUUCAACGUGUUUUGCUUAUAAUUUAAUUUUACGUGCAUCGUGAUUUUCAAAUGCUUAUUUUCCGUGCUCGGUAUUUUUCAAAUAAAAUUCAAACACUUGGCAGGAAUCGUCAAGAAAUACCUUUUUAAAAACUGUAAACCAUUUAUAUCAUAAAUGGUGAAUAAACUAAAUCGGAAAUAUCAAGUAAAACAGAGUUUAUAAUUACAAGAAGACAGUGACUCAGUCACAAAAGGUUCACAUCAAAGUCUUUAUUUUUCGUGCAACGUUCAUGACAGAAAUUAUUUCAUGUUCAACGUGAAAUUAUGUCUUAUUUCACGUUUUUUUCGUGCAAGCACACCCCUUUUACCACCCUCUUAGAUUGUAUUUUAUUUUAUUUAAAAUAAUAACAAGAGUAGUCAAGAAUACUUUUAUUUCUAAAUAAUACAAAGAGUUGUCAAGAAUACAUUAUAACAUUGACAACACAUGAUGUUUCUGUUUACUUGGCCAAACCUCGUUCAACAUCGUAUCCCAACUCUGGAAAAAAAAUUGUCAUGAAAUCCUAUAGUACUGCAUAGUCCGCACCUAGUCCUAUAACAUAUGACCUCGGGGAUUUUAUUCACUAUUUCCAUUUGCUGUUCUGAUAAAAAAAAAAUUACUAUCAAUGUGCCACCUGAGACACUAAAUAAAAAAUGAAAAUAUCAGCAUGAAAACGUUAAAUAGUGAAUAUAUAAUGCGAAGGCAUAUAUUAUAGGACUAAGUCCGCACCCCUUCCAUCAAUUUCAUUCCCGGGUAAAAAAAAACGCGGACUAUACACCCCUUUCAACUGUAUGUAACACAUAAACAAACGACAGCUACUGAAUUACAGGCUCCUGACUUGGGACAGGAACAUACAUAAAUAAUGCAGGUAUAUCUCAUUACCAGAAUAUUUAGCCCACCCCCUUUGUCAUGGUCUAUUGACUAACAUGUAUUAGUUUUUGAUUAGGUCAGUUAUUGAGGAACCACUAGUGAAUGGUCAAUGAUAUUUGGUGUGCAGUUGGAUAAACUUUGUCACUUUUAAUUUCUUGGCUCACACCGAACAACAAGCUAUAAAGGGCCCAGAAAUUACUAGUGUAAAACUAUUCAAACUAGAAAACAAAGGUUUGUUAAAAAAGGACAACUUAUGAAAAGUCAAUGGUAUUUGGUAAGCAGUUGUAUAUUCCUCCAUGCAGCUUGUAACUAUUAGCAAAACCUACAUGUAUACUGCAUAGUAAGCUUUAAAAGACCAGGAAUUACAAACGUAAAACAAUAAAAACUAAUAAAAAUGUUAAAAUAAAUAAUUGGACAUAACUUUUGAAAGUGGCGGGAUUGGAUAGUGAAAAUUUUAGGGUACAAACAUUAGUCAAUACUUGAGAAAUAGCUGAGAUAAUAUUUUCACCAAUUUUCAACAAUAUUCGUCUUAACUUCUGCCAAGUUUGCCUCUGCUUUUUUUACUUAACUGCCUACAGCGCCUUUGGUGCUU